rnacentral:rRNA from 1 species
UUGCGGUAAAAAGCUCGUAGUUGGAUUUCUGUUGAGGACGACCGGUCCGUACCAUGUACGCGCAUCUGGUUCGGCCUCGGCAUCCUCUCGAUAGACGUUUCUGCGCUUGAUUGCGUGGAGCGGAUUUCGGGACUUUUACUUUGAGGAAAUUGGAGUGUUCACGGCAGGCUAACGCCAGAACAUAUUAGCAUGGAAUAAUACUAUAGGAUCUCGGUUCUAUUUUGUUGGUUUCUAGACCCGGGGUAAUGAUAAAUAGGGACAAUUGGGGGCAUUUGUAUCAACACGUCAGAGGUGGAAUUCUUGGAUUGUGUUGCGACAAACUACUGCGAAAGCAUUUGCCAAGGAUGUUUUCAUUGAUCAAGAACGAAAGUAAGGGGAUCGAAGACGAUUAGAUACCGUCGUAGUCUUUACCAUAAACUAUGCCAACUAGAGAUGGGGCAUCGUUCACUUAC